ACCCCGUCCCUGUGCCACAGUAUGCUGUAUGCUGCGAUAUGCCUUUUCAAUACUUUCUUUUGGUCAACCGACUGUUUUCACAGUGGUGGCUGAUGAGACAAGUAACUGACCCGGAAAUGAUCGUCGGCAAAAUCAUUUUAACCCCUGAGGGAAAGCCCCUUGCGUGUGGUUAACAGCAGUAUAUCAGUGUUUAUCAAACUGAGGUGGUUCAUAACACAUCCCUGUAUCCGCAGUACUAUUUGGAAGCAAAGAACACAUCCCAAUCA